rnacentral:rRNA from 1 species
UACGAAGGGGGCUAGCGUUGCUCGGAAUCACUGGGCGUAAAGGGUGCGUAGGCGGGUCUUUAAGUCAGGGGUGAAAUCCUGGAGCUCAACUCCAGAACUGCCUUUGAUACUGGCGAUCUUGAGUCCGGGAGAGGUGAGUGGAACUGCGAGUGUAGAGGUGAAAUUCGUAGAUAUUCGCAAGAACACCAGUGGCGAAGGCGGCUCACUGGCCCGGUACUGACGCUGAGGUGCGAAAGCGUGGGGAGCAAACA